AUGCUGCAACUUAUUUCUUUGUCUCUACCGUUUCUGUCUUCUUCUCUGCAACAUCUAACUUAUUUGCCUCUGCAGCUUGUGCCAUUAUGUUUGCCGCUUCUUUUUUUUAUUGAUUGCGCAUCUGCAUCCUCCAGAACAUAA
rnacentral:rRNA from 1 species